UAGGGAAUCUUCCACAAUGGGCGAAAGCCUGAUGGAGCAACGCCGCGUGUGUGAUGAAGGCUUUAGGGUCGUAAAGCACUGUUGUAUGGGAAGAAAUGCUAGAAUAGGGAAUGAUUCUAGUUCGACGGUACCAUACCAGAAAGGGACGGCUAAAUACGUGCCAGCAGCCGCGGUAAUACGUAUGUCCCGAGCGUUAUCCGAAUUUAUUGGGCGUAAAGCGAGCGCAGACGGUUGAUUAAGUCUGAUGUGAAAGCCCGGAGCUCAACUCCGGAAUGGCAUUGGAAACUGGUUAACUUGAGUGUUGUAGAGGUAAGUGGAACUCCAUGUGUAGCGGUGGAAUGCGUAGAUAUAUGGAAGAACACCAGUGGCGAAGGCGGCUUACUGGACAACAACUGACGUUGAGGCUCGAAAGUGUGGGUAGCAAACAGGAUUAGAUACCCUGGUAGUCCACACCGUAAACGAUGAAUACUAGGUGUUAGGAGGUUUCCGCCUCUUAGUGCCGAAGCUAACGCAUUAAGUAUUCCGCCUGGGGAGUACGACCGCAAGGUUG
rnacentral:rRNA from 1 species